AUAAAUCUGUUUCCGUCGUAACUCAUAAUAUAUUACAAUAUUAUUAUUUAGGUAGGUACCUAUUAUUAUUGUUUAUGUGGCGUCAACUGUUUGCUUUUCUCACACAAAUGUUUCAUAAUAAUAUAUUAAUAUGAGCAUUGGGUUUUCUUCCGAGAUCAUAAUAUUAUAAUAUCGUAGUAUCGUGAUAUACUCGUCGCAUAUUUAUGUAAUGAGUAUACUCGCCUAUGCGCGGAUUUCGUAUUUCAACCAGCGACUCGUCGCUAAUAUGUUUCUAAAAAUGUUUAUAUGGCCGAUAUAGGGCUAUGGUUCCAUCCAUAGUAUAAAUGUAUAAUACUACGGUUUUCUUAAACUCGGCCUUUACCAUCAGUCGUCCAUCGACAGGUGUUAAUUGUUUCAGUUUCUUUGUUGUACUUUUUUUUUUGUUGCCUCCGACCGCCAGCAAAACAUCUGCCGGGUGCGGACCAUAUUAUCAUAAAGACAUCGCAGUGCCGCACGAAUAAUAUAAAUGUCGUAAUUGCCAGCCGAGCUGUGAUCGAGAUGAAUAUUAAAUGAUAAUGUUUCAGUGAACCCAAGCCCAAGGCAAAUAAUUUAUUUAACUUACUUGCGCACCUACGUCUUACCUCUCUUAUUAAAUUAUUAUUAUUAUUAUUAUUAUUAUGACGCGAGGGCCUUCAUUUCUCCACGAAGUCAGCAAGUAGUGUAAAGACGGUUGGUCACACUGGUUUGAUGAAGCCGGUCGGGCGGCGCAUCGCGGCGGCGGCGACCUCGGGUCGGCUUGCCGCAGCGGGCGCAGCUCGCCGUUCUUCAGUCUUUCGCUUUGGCCUGAGCGUUAUCUACGUCGGUUAAUUUCUCAGUUUUUUUCAACUGGCCGUUUCUCAUUUUUGUCGUCUACGGCAUCGCACAUAAUCACUUCGCUAAUCGUCCGUCGACUAUAUCACCUCUCUCUGCGACAUCAACCGUAUUUGCUUAGUGUUGACGUGUCACACGGUUAGUCAGUCGGCAGAAUGGAACCACUGGAAAUUGGACCUUGUGAACGAUCGGGUGUAACGACGUUCCCUUUCACCGCCGGCUCGACGACACGUAGACAACAACAACUGUCGCCGCCGCCGCCGCUGCCGACUCCCCUCCGCGCAACGCCUGACUCGGAAUGCCGACUGACGACGUACAAUAAUUAUUGAACGUGUACUGCGUAGCAGCGUCGUACGGCAUAGGUGCACUGCGGACCGGUCGGCCAUUUAUCUCCAAACUUCACUUCUUCCUCGUCGGUACGUCCUGCUGUGUGCGCACUGUUUGUCUCGUCGUCUCCAAAAACCGCCGGUGAUUGUUUUCCGUUCUGUACGCCAUCGGCCGGCAGGUAUCAUUCCGACAGCGAGAACUUGUGUAUUUGGUACCGGCGAUUGCAGAAUUUCAGUCUUGUCAUGAAAGCCUGUCCUACGGACAAUGACCACAUCUAUAUCAACGCCAUGGCUGUUCGUCGUGCAGGGUAUCCGGAACUGUUACAUUGUUACUGGUUUGCAUGUUAUAAGUUUAGCCUUUAACCCAAAAUAUUCUUAUGUCAUGAAUAAUGAUAAUAUAAAAUACUAUUAAAAAUAGUUUUUCAUCAUAUUUGACAUGAGCUGAUUAUUUCCCAUGUACAAAAUACGUACUAACCAACAGUAUGACAAUCUUCCGCUAUGCACAUAGAAGUGUAUCAAAGAAACACAGUAGAGGGGCCCACAUAAGAGGUUCAUUGUUUUUAAGGAUUAAAAUGUUUCUGUGAUAACAUUAAAAUUGAAAUAUUUAUCACUAGAUCGUGUAUUAUUUUCUGAAUUCAGAGACAUUAAAAUGCAUUUUUUUGGUUUAUUUCACAUAAGAGGCUAUUAGCUUUGCCCUGAGCAACAUCAUGUUUAAUUUAAUGCAUUUG
rnacentral:lncRNA from 1 species